AAACCAACCGGGAUUGCCUUAGUAACGGCGAGUGAAGCGGCAAAAGCUCAAAUUUGAAAUCUGGUACCUUCGGUGCCCGAGUUGUAAUUUGGAGAGGGCAACUUUGGGGCCGUUCCUUGUCUAUGUUCCUUGGAACAGGACGUCAUAGAGGGUGAGAAUCCCGUGUGGCGAGGAGUGCGGUUCUUUGUAAAGUGCCUUCGAAGAGUCGAGUUGUUUGGGAAUGCAGCUCUAAGUGGGUGGUAAAUUCCAUCUAAAGCUAAAUAUUGGCGAGAGACCGAUAGCGAACAAGUACAGUGAUGGAAAGAUGAAAAGAACUUUGAAAAGAGAGUGAAAAAGUACGUGAAAUUGUUGAAAGGGAAGGGCAUUUGAUCAGACAUGGUGUUUUGUGCCCUCUGCUCCUUGUGGGUAGGGGAAUCUCGCAUUUCACUGGGCCAGCAUCAGUUUUGGUGGCAGGAUAAAUCCAUAGGAAUGUAGCUUGCCUCGGUAAGUAUUAUAGCCUGYGGGAAUACUGCCAGCUGGGACUGAGGACUGCGACGUAAGUCAAGGAUGCUGGCAUAAUGGUUAUAUGCCGCC
rnacentral:rRNA from 1 species